GAGACACGCUGGCGGCGUGCUUAACACAUGCAAGUCGAACGGUAAGGCCCUUCGGGGUACACGAGUGGCGAACGGGUGAGUAACACGUGGGUGAUCUGCCCUGCACUUCGGGAUAAGCCUGGGAAACUGGGUCUAAUACCGGAUAGGACUCCUGGCUUCAUGGUUGGGGGUGUAAAGCUUUUGCGGUGUGGGAUGGGCCCGCGGCCUAUCAGCUUGUUGGUGGGGUAAUGGCCUACCAAGGCGACGACGGGUAGCCGGCCUGAGAGGGUGACCGGCCACACUGGGACUGAGAUACGGCCCAGACUCCUACGGGAGGCAGCAGUGGGAAUAUUGCACAAUGGGCGCAAGCCCGAUGCAGCGACGCCGCGUGAGGGAUGACGGCCUUCGGGUUGUAAACCUCUUUCAAUAGGGACGAAGCGCAAGUGACGGUACCUAUAGAAGAAGGACCGGCCAACUACGUG
rnacentral:rRNA from 1 species